rnacentral:lncRNA from 1 species
CAGUCUUACCUUCUACUAGUGGCAUUAGUUCAGCGAAAGACGAUGUCAGUAUUUUCACGAGAACACCAUCAUCACCGCACACAGAAGAAUCAGAAGAAUCACUUGUAGAGAUAGAAAGGGAAAGAUUGGGAGUAGAAAAAGACCGGUUAAAAAUUGAACAAGAAAGACUAGCAACCGAGAAACAGAGGCUGGAGAUAGAGAGAAAAUCACUUCUAAUCAAAGAACAAAAAUACCAAUUAUAUUUGACAAAGUUGAACUUAAGCUUGCAGCAAAUGGGUAUUUCCGUCAAUAGCUUAAAUGUACCAACUUCUUCUGACACUUCGUCCACAC